rnacentral:lncRNA from 1 species
GAUCUACGGCUGGUGUUAGAGCUAUCUGCUUGAGCUUGAGCACGUACAUUAAUAGCCAAUUGUCUCCCAGUUGUGUAUUGCUUCUUGGAACAUCUACCGGUUCCGGCGAAACGAGAAGAGUUAGUAAGGUGGAGACUGCCUUCCAGAACCGCCUGAGUGGAACCUAGAACCGAGGCCAUGUUUGGUGCUAUAAAGUUUUGGUAAUGGACGAAGCCUGAGGUAUUUCAG